GCUGCUGUAGCUCAGUGGUAGAGCACUUCCUUGGUAAGGAAGAGGUCUCGGGUUCAAGUCCCGACAGCAGCUCCA
rnacentral:tRNA from 1 species